rnacentral:tRNA from 1 species
CGUUCUGUCGCCGAAUUGGUAAAAGGCAUCGCCGAUCACAGGCGAGGGUGCGGGUUCGAGUCCCGCUGGAACGA